GACGUAGGGCGCGAGCGUUGUCCGGAUUUAUUGGGCGUAAAGAGCUCGUAGGCGGCUUGUCGCGUCGUCCGUGAAAACCCACAGCUCAACUGUGGGCUUGCGGUCGAUACGGGCAGGCUAGAGUUCGGUAGGGGAGACUGGAAUUCCUGGUGUAGCGGUGAAAUGCGCAGAUAUCAGGAGGAACACCGGUGGCGAAGGCGGGUCUCUGGGCUGAUACUGACGCUGAGGAGCGAAAGCGUGGGGAGCGAACAGG
rnacentral:rRNA from 1 species